CCUCUUCCUCCAAACUUAGCAACUGUGAUUGUUGUGUCACAUGUUUAUCAGUGAGUGACAGAGGGGAGAGAGAUUAUGUCUAUUCAGUGUUCUAACCUAUGUACAUCUUAAUGAUUAAUAAUCUAACAUU